UACGUAGGUGGCAAGCGUUGUCCGGAUUUACUGGGCGUAAAGGGCGCGUAGGCGGAUAGUUUAGUCAGAGGUAAAAGCCCAGGGCUCAACCUUGGAACUGCCUUUGAUACUGGCUAUCUUGAGUUCGGGAGAGGUGAGUGGAACGCCGAGUGUAGAGGUGAAAUUCGUAGAUAUUCGGCGGAACACCAGUGGCGAAGGCGACUCACUGGCCCGAUACUGACGCUGAGGCGCGAAAGCGUGGGGAGCAAACAGG
rnacentral:rRNA from 1 species